AUAAACAAUAAUAUCAUUGUGAUAAUAAAAAAAGUUAGUGUCAGAAUUUUGACACUUGCGAUUUUACUCUGCUCAAGUAAUAGUUUAAUGGUUGGUAUUUGACCAAAAGAUUGUAUUUUUGUGGAAACGUUAAUGUAAAAUAAUCAGAAAACACUUUUGGCAGCAAGUAUUUUAUUGAAAUGUAUUUCGAGUUCCAUAAACUUGGUUGACUGGCGUUUUGUCAACAAACCUCUUUGAUUUUUGGGGAAAACCAAAAGAUUUUUUUUUUAUUUUAAACAUUUAUAAAGUAUGUUCUACGUUAAGCAGAGCAAGACUGAAAUAGCUGAGGAAGUCCAACAACGCCAUCGAAAAAUUAACAUUGUCACAGCUAAAGCUAAAUCAACAAAAUCGGGCAUCUAAUGUCAUAAUCGUAGGGCUUCUCAAAUCAGAUGAAUAUGACAAUAUAAUAGCUGCAAACAAGUUUUUCAAUGCACGUGGAGUUGACAGUGCAAAAUUAGGUCAGCAGAAUAAAAUCUAGCAAGAUAAACAACACCAUACAUAACUCCAACAUAGUUAAGGUCUCUUGAAUAAUUGAACAAUCUCGAUCAGAAGUACUUCAGAAAUGUAGUCACCAUAAUAUUGCUGAAUUCAAAAGAAUUUUCUGUCGUAAAGAUCGAACUC